CUCCUUGGUGGAGUUUUCCCCAGUGACCCUAGAACCUUCUGGUACAGUGCAGCAUCACAUGCUCCAUGCAGUUAUAUUCAGCUAGUGGGAAGGCUGUCAUCCAAUAUGUUGAUGGUACUGUGUUGUCUAUCAUAUUUCAAACAUCUGAAACUACAAAACUAAAGAACAGAAUGUCUUCGUUUCCCCAUUUAUCAUUUCUGCUCCCAUAGGAUCUGUCAUUGCAGAAUUCAUUUUCAAAGUGAGGGAUCAUAUGGUGACAACAGAAGAGGAAGUUGCCAAAAAUGCUUUCUGAGUGGGUAAUAAAUCAAUGUAUUAAACAUCAGCUGAGGUAAUACUGAAGGCAAAAGGCUCAAUGGACAUUUGCCAUAACUUCAACAAGGUGUUUAAAUUGCUUGUAAGAGUUUUAAAGCGGAUCAAGAUGAAAG
ensembl:lncRNA